UUAAAUAAAUAAUAUAAAAAUCCAGUCCGUGAUAAAUAAAUUGUGGGUUGCAUAAUUCAAUUAAAAUACAAAGUACCGUGAAUUAAGCCAAUCUAAUUAAAUAUUCCCCCUGUCGAUUUGGUCAUCAAUCGACAUUAAUCCAAUUGUAAAUAAAGAUUUAGUAGAGAUCUUCCUCCUCCGUGAUGAGGUAUUCCUCCUCCGUGAGCUGCAAAUAAAAUUCCAAAGAAUUAAAACUAGUCAAUCCUAAUUAAUUACCCAGAUUCCACUCCCUUCCCCACGUUUAAAAAAAAAUCGUAUCCCAUCCUCCGUGAAUCUCUCCCAAAUCUAAACCAUCAAUCAGCCUCCUUCUCCCCAUAAUACGCCUUUCACAAAUCAAAUUUCACUCCACCCAUUCUUGCUUCUCUGCAAAUCUGCAAGAACUCUCAAGAACAAGACCAUUCUUCUCAACUUCUACUCAAUCGAACUCAAGAAACCGAGAACCAAACGAGAGAGAGAGAGAGUUAUCGUUGUUCCUUCGAAAUCUGUCCAAGGUGAAUCAUCGCAAGUGAAACGUGAUGUCAAGGGGAGGAACGUACUUGAAAAUUAAGCAGUCGAGGUUGAGCGGCGACGAGCAAUUGGUGGUGUUGAGCAAUUUAAAAUUGAAGUAUUGUUU